rnacentral:rRNA from 1 species
GUUAGGAAUAUUGGACAAUGGGUGCAAGCCUGAUCCAGCCAUGCCGCGUGAGUGAUGAAGGCCUUCGGGUUGUAAAGCUCUUUAGUCCACGAAUAUAAUGACUGUAGUGGAAGAAUAAGCCCCGGCUAACUUCGUGCCAGCAGCCGCGGUAAUACGAAGGGGGCGAGCGUUAUUCGGAAUCACUGGGCGUAAAGCGUGCGUAGGCUGUUUUGUAAGUCAGAAGUGAAAGCCCAGGGCUUAACCCUGGAAUUGCUUUUGAAACUACAAGACUCGAAUUCGGGAGAGGAUAGCGGAAUUGUCAGUGUAGCAGUGAAAUGCGUAGAUAUUGACAGGAACACCAGUGGCGCAAGCGGCUAUCUGGACCGAUAUUGACGCUGAGGCACGAAAGCGUGGGGAGCAAACAGGAUUAGAUACCCGUGUAGUCC